GGUUUUUUUAUUGAUUAAUCAGUAGAUAAGAACUGCUUUAGGUGAAGGGAAAGACAACACUCAAUACAUGGAAGGUCAGCUCAAUUGGACUGGACCAAAAGCAAAGAAGUUUCCAGGAUAAAAUGAAUGCUUCAAAGGUCAGCGGAGCAAGUGUGGGGGUCUGGGGAACAUGGUUUGCGGGGACUUCUAAGUCAAUUGGCAAAAUAAUUCUAUUAUGAAAUCAUUCUGCAUCCCACUUUGAAAUGUGGCGUCUGGGGUCUUAAAUGCUAACAAGCGGCCACCUAAGAUGCAGCAAUUGGUCUCAACCCACCUGGAGCAAAGGAAAAUGAAGAACACCAAGGCCACACGACAACUAAGAGCCCAAGAGACAGAAAGGGCCACAUGAACCAGAGACCUACAUCAUCCUGAGACCAGAAGAACUAGUUGGUGCCCGGCCACAAUCGAUGACUGCCCUGACAGGGAGCACAGCAGAGGACCCCUAAGGGAGCAGGAGAUCAGUGGGAUACAGACCCCAAAUUCUCAUAAAAAGACCAAACUUAAUGGUCUGACUGAGACUGGAGGAAUCCCGACAGCCAUGCUCCCCAGACCUUCAGUUGACACAGGACAGGAACCAUCCCCGAAGACAACUCAUCAGACAUGAAAGGGACUGGUUAGCGGGUGGGAGAGAGACGCUGAUGAAGAGUGAGCUAAUGAUAUCAGGUGGACACUCGAGAUUGUGUUGGCAACUCUUGUCUGGAGGGGGGAUGGGAAGAUAGAGAGAGAGGGAAGCCGGCAAAAUUGUCAAGAAAGGAGAGACUGAAAGGGCUGACUCAAGAGGGGGAGAGCAAGUGGGAGUAGGGAGUGAGAUGUAUGUAAACUUAUAUGUGACAGACUGAUUGGAUUUGUAAACGUUCACUUGAAGCUUAAUAAAAGUUAUUUUAAAAAAAAAAGUAUUUUAUUAAGUUAUAGUAAAAAAAUUAUAGGCGUUGAAGUCAGAAGUCAGUUCAAAUUCCAGCUCAGUUCAGAUUUACCAGCUGUUGAUGUUAAUGGAUUGAAUUGGGCACCCCAAAGAUGUGUCAGUUUGGCUAGGCCAUGAUUCCUAGUGUUGUGUGAUUGUCAACCGUUUUGUCAUCUGUGUGUUGUAAAUCCUGCCUCUGUGAUGUUACUGAGGUGGGAUUAGCGGCAGUUAUGUUAAUGAGACAAGACUCAAUCUACAAGAUUGAGUUGUGUUUUAAAUCAACCUCUUUUGAGAUAUAAAAGAGAGAAGUGAGCAGAGAGACAUGGGGACUUCAUACCAUCAAGAAACAAGAGCCAGGAGAAUAGUGCAUCCUUUGAACCCAGAGUCCCUGCACUGAGUAGCUCCUCUACAGGGAAAGAUUGAUGACAAGGACCCUUCCACAGAGCUGACAGAGAGAGAAAACCUUCCCCUAGAGCUGGCACCCUGAAUUAGGACUUCUAGCCUCCCAGACUGUGAGAGGAUAAAACUUUGUUAAAGCCACCCACUUGUGGUAUUUCUGUUACAGCAGCUCUAGAUAACCAAGACACUUGGCCUUUUUGAGUAUUAGCUCCCUCAUUUUUAAGUGGGAUAACACCUCUUACCUUGGAAGGUGUUUGUAACAAUUAAAGUUAAUAUACCUGAAACACCAGCCACACUAUAGGGAUAUGUGGUAGCUAUUGUGGUUAAGCAACUAAACAGAUCAAUCUCUUAUCAUAUUUCAUACUGAAAUGUAAUAUUGCAAUUGAUUAUUUACCCACUAUAUAGUAUGAAAAGCAGUCUUUAGACAGCUUCAGACACGUAGUUGCCCAUCUCUUACCAGACACACUAACGGUACCCUGAUAAUUGCUUGGAAUUUUGCCUUCUUGCACCGUAGUAGUGCACUAAGGGAAGAGAAUACCAGUCAGCCUACCCAAAUAUUUAUAUACAAGCGCUGUUCUUCGUGUCAAAGGUAACAUGUGUUUGGGGAUUUUCCAGUAAUGAUGAUAGGUUAUGCUGAGUCAUUAUCAUUUUGUCAACCAUAUUCUAGCUAACAUUUGCUAAGUGGCUUAUGGUUAUUGUCUGUGGCCCCAGAGUAGAUUUCCAUCCAACUGGCUAAUAUGUAAAAUGUAGCUCUGACAUCAUGAGUUGAGGUCAGUAACCAAGUCGUAGGUAAGGGGUUCUAACAGUAAGGAUGAUUGAUAAUCACGGGUAGCCUAGGAAAUGAUUUAUGGUAUUUUUUUAUAGUUCUGUUCAUUAUCUUAUUAUGAAACAAAAUGUGAAACUCUUUAUAUUUUGUUAGCCUGUAGAUGAAAUAGUUACUUUGAGGGUUUAAAAUUAUAAAAUCAUAAUUCUGUCACUUAAACCGUAGAGACCAGGGACAGAAUAGAACGUCCUGGGUAGAAUGGGAGGAAAAUGUAGGACAAAAUACAAAUUCCUGAAAAAGACCAGACUUAAUGGACCUAUAGAGACUAGAGGAACCCCUGAGACUGUCGCCCUAAAAUACCCUUUGAACUUGAAACAGAAGCCACUCUCAGAGGUCGUCUUUCAGCUAAAUAAUAGAUUGGCUUAUAAAAUAAACAAUAUUAUGCAUGAGUAAUGCGCUGUCUUAAACAGUCAACUGUAUGAGACCAAAUGGUCAACACUUACCUAAAAGCAAAGAUGAGAAGGCAAGGAGGGCAGGGAAGCUGUAUCAGUGGAAACAAUGGAAAUAAUGAGAAUGCUGACACAUUGUGAAAAUUAUAACCAGUGUCACAGAGCAAUUUGUAUAAAAACUGUUAAAUGGGAACUUCAUUUGCUGUGUAAACUUUGACCUAAAACACAAUAAAAUAUUUUUUUUAAUGUAGAGUUUUCUGUAAAAAAAAAAAAAAACCAUAGAAAUGAAAAGAGCUGUCAUCUUAUUUAAAACAAAUAUGGACAGUCAUGGAUCUGCAUAUUAGGUCACCUUCAGGACUCCCACUCUUUGUACUUUAGAUGAAGGUUUACAGAGCAAACUAGUUUCUCAUUAAACACACAUGUUGUUUUGUGACAUUGGUUGCCAACCGCACGACAUGUCAAAACUCUCCCCUUUUCAACCUUGAGUUCCCCAUUACCAGGUUUCCUAGUGGGCUCCCACUCUUGAUAAGACUUAGUGAGUUAGACUCAGAAGACAAACUCUUAUAUGUGAAAAUGUUGCUGAUAGAGGAGUGAUACAAGAGCUUUAGAGGACUAUUUCUAAUAUCUGCCUACUUACUAUCCAGAAGGUAGCUAUCAUCCCAUCACCAUUUGGAAUCAUACCAAUAGCUAUGUAAGACAUGUGCUUUAAGUAGACCACCCUAUAUUUAAAAAUUAAUUAUCUUUUAUUGUGAGUAUCUUCACAGUUGUUAGGGGGGCUGAGUACAUUAUGGGUUUUCUCAAUUUCAUUUCUUUUUUGCCCCUAAGUUGUCAGGCAGUGCUUUUGUUCUCUCUGUGUUAGCCUGGAGUUAACUAAAAUAUUUUAUCCCUUACGCAUCACCUCCUAUGGCCCUCAGCCCUCCCACUUGGAACCUGUUGUGGCAAAUUCCCAACUUGACCAUUCAAAGAGUUCAUACCCAGAUGAAAAGUCUGUGGUGCUGUUGUCAUCAGCCGUUUUGAAUGGUCAGGGGCACUGGUGCAGAACUCACCGACUUUCAUGUACCCUCUCAGAGACCGCUGCAGGGCACUGCUGUGCUCAGGCCCUGGUUUUCUGAGCUUGGAGUUUUAUGAGUUUUUUGAAAGAAUCCAUCCAUUGCUCUAUGGAAGAAGAGGAAGAGGGUCAUGUUUCAACUGUGUUGAUACAGGUUACAGAGAUACUUCGUUUCUGUGAACCUGCUCUGUCUUACACAUCCCAGAAAUUCUUUAGUGAUGCUGCUUUGUUGAUGAUGUCCUUGUUGUUUUUACGUGCUACUGUAGAAUUUUUUUUGUUUUAAAUAUUGCCUUGGUCAUUUCAGUGGGAUUUGGAGAAAGAAGGAGAGUAAAUUGACUCAUUUCACCCUGUUGAAAUCUCACCAUCCAAAGAUGUUUAAUAAAUGAUAAUUAAAUGAGAGAAAUCAGUGAGUGGUUAGGGCAGUUGAUUAGACCUAAAUAACAUUUACAGAUAUUUAUUGGAGAUUUAGGCCAUAUAUGCUUAUUGUAAAAUUUUAUUAGUAAGGGGAAAGCUAUGAUACAGUAAUUUUCCUAAGAUUACACAUCUCUUAGGUGAAUAAGCCAGAAAAUGUUUAAAUUCUGUGGCCCCAAUUUAUGGUGGGACAUGUGUCUGAUCAGUUAAAAUCCAGGAGACAUAGCUAAGUGGUUAAGAGCACAGAGCCUGCGCGCAAAUUCUAUCUGUGCCACUUACUAGCAGUGUGAUCUUGGGCAACAUACCUCAGGGGGCUAUUUGAUGAUUAAAGCAUUAAUGUAUAUAAAACACUUAAAGUACCUGGCACGUAAUGCUAUGUAAAUGACAACUAAAAUCAAUGGGACUAACUUUUGGAGAUUCUUUUCUUUUCAAUAGCCAUAGGCAGCUGUCUUAUAAAAAAAAAAAAAAAUAGUCGAUCAUAAAUACUAUAUAGUUUUUAAGCCAUAGAUGUAAAUGUCUGUCACCACUACUAGAAUAUGCAUUCUGGUCCAUUGGGACAGCUGACCAAAGUUUCAUUUUGAAGUGGGAAGAGUAGUCAGAAUAUGGGCUUUGCUUGAAUCAUUUAUGUUUCACAUAUUCAGAAAAUUUAAGAUAAUAGAAAAAAGCAAAUCCUAAUGUUGAAUACAAACUGAAACCAAUGAUCCUAAACUGUAUAUCAAAUUGAUGAUCUAACUAUUUAGGACAAAAGAAUUCAGGUAACUUUGAACGUAGUAUUCUGAAUGUGCUCCCUUAGUGGGAUACAGUCUAAGACAAAAAGAAUUGCAAAAAAGUGCUGAACUUUACUUAAUAGGCAGCAACCCCCUACAACAGCUCUACAGGGGAAUUGUUAUCCCCAUUUUGCUGAUGAGGAAGCAUGUUGAGAGAGGAGAAGUGAUUUGCCUGACAUUUAAUUAGAAGGUGGCAGAGCUGUAUUCCAAAGCCCAUGCUCUCUUCAUUAUACUGUGUUGCCUUUUUUUUAUAGUGUGCUGUUUCAGAUGAGUCCCUGUGCUACCAUCCUGGUUUCUCUAGUACCUUCCUUUCUUUUACUGGCAUCAUCUGUAGUUAUUAGUCAGAACCACAUUUUCAAGAGCAUCCUAACCUCUUGAAUCUCCUUCAAGAAUUUCAUUCUAUACAGUCGUGCCUACCUUUUUUAAAACCUGCAGCCCUAAGAUAAAGGAUAUUUGACUCUGCCUACCCUUUUCUUUAUUGUUUUUUUUUACCCUUUUCUUUACAAAUUCUGAGUUGACCCUAAAACUUUUUCUCUGGAUUCUCAUUUCUUCUGCUUUACAAAUAACUGGUUACCUGAAUUUUAGCUGGUAUUAAAGUCACGAUAACUUAUGGGUGUAGUCUGUGUUGUUAACUAAGCCUGGAAGUUGUACUUAAGAAAGCUGUAUUCUUAGACAUUCAUCUAUUUGUAAUUUAGGAUGUCUUACGGUGAUUUGGUGAUACGCCCUGAAAAGGAAGAAUGGUGAAGAAUGCAAUUGUUGGACUUGCAUUUUUUACGUGAGAGCACUUGAAGAAACUCUUGCAUUAGCAGAAUCAAAAUGGAAUUGUAUUUUUUUAAUCACCCUGAACUAUCCUUACAGUGUAUGGCUUUUAAAAAUGUAAUUUUAUGCAACAUACAAGGGAAAUUGUCAAGAAGAUCUAGACCUGGGAUUUCAAUAUAAUUAAAAAAGGAGAUAAGUUCAUUGCAUAGUGCCUGGGGUCUUAAAAGCUUGCAAGCAGCUGUCCAAGGUGCAACAAUUGGUCGCUAUUCACCUGAAGCAACAGGAAGAAGUGGGGAGAGUCAGGAAUAGGAGGAAAUAUGCGGCUGAUCGCCUGCCUCCAUGAGCAACUGCGUCCUUUGCCAUGAGACCAGGAGAACUGGAUGGUGCCCAAUCUACACUACUGAACGUUUUGAUCAAAGAUUCUGUGGAAGAUUACUGAUCAAAAGGAAAAAAAAUACAGAAUAGGAUUUCAAAUUCUCAUGGAAUUGAGCUCUUCUGGAGCCAUGGAGAAUGGAUGAACUUCUGAAACUGUUGCCCUGAGAUAAUCUUUAAACCUUAAACCAGAAAUAUCCCAUGAAGUCUUCUUAAAAUCAAACAGCAGUUUAGCUUAACUAGUAAAGAAUGUCUGCCUUGAGUAUUAUGCAUUUUUAAGGUCACAAUUGGGAUCAAACUGACAACAGCAGCUUAGAAGAUUAGAUAGAAAACUUAGAGGGCAGUGAGUUCAUGUUAAUCAGGAGAAACAAUUCAGAAAAGGCGUGUGAGAAUGGUUCCACAACUUGAAGAACGUAAUCAAUAUCAUUGAAUUGUACAUGUAAAAAUUGUUGAAUUUGUGUAUAUUCUCGACAACAAAAUAAAAUGAAUUAUUUUUUUAAUUACAAAGAAAGAAUUUUUGAUGUAUUUGAAGAGAUGAAGUGAAGCAAGCAAUAAGAAUGAUUCCGAGAUUUCUAAACUGUUUAAUUGAAUCAGUGACAACAUCAUUAUUAGAAAUAUUUUCCUUCGUUUCCUUUUGUACCUUCUUUCCAAUAUUUACAGCAGUGCCUAGCAUACAUAGUGAUAAAAAUAGGCAGUAAAUAUUUGAAUGAAUUGAAUUAAAGAAAGUGUGGGAAGUGAGAAGGAUAAGGCAUAGAUGUGUGUUUAAAGUAACUGUAGGAUACCCAAGCAGGUGGAUGGUGAGGCUAAAAUUCUGGAAAGAAUAAAGGUGGUUGGAUUUGUAAUAUCGAAGCGGGGAAGAACCAACUUAGGAAAUAAAGAGGCAAUCUCAGAGAUAGGAAAAAAAGGGUGUGGUUUCACAGAAAGCAAACAGCUAGUUCCUGGAAGGAGAUAGCUAACAAUGUUACUUGUUUCAGAAAAGUUGAAGAAAAUGAGGACUAGAGAAGACCUUUGGAUUUAGAUUUUAAGAGGACAUAAAUGAUCUUGGAAAGAAGAACUUAAAUAGAACCAUGAAGUGAAAGUCACGUUACAAAGGGUGUGAGGAAUGGGUGGAUGAAGACAUAAAUGGAGCAGCAAGUUCUCCACUCCAGCUUGGUUCCCUCCUUUCCCCCCAGAGCUAAAGAGACCAAAAAAAAAAAGCAAAUCCAUUGCUGUCGAGUUGAUUCCAACUCAUAGUGGCCCUGUAGGACAGAGUAAAACUGUCCCAUAGGGUUUCCAAGGAGUGGCUGGUGGAUUCGAACUGCUGACCUUUUGGUUAGCAGCCGUAGCUAUCUAGUAACCACUACACCACCAGGGCUCCAAGAGAAGUGAGGCAGUUGGUAAUCUGAGAGCUAUCAAUUAAGGAAAGUAGUUUGCUUUGUUUUAAAGACAUAAGCAUAUUUUGUAGCGAGAGAAAAGAAAGACCCAUAGUCUAAGGCAAUUGUCAAAAAUAGUGUACACAAUAAUAACAGGGAUUUUGUUUAAAAUGCAUAUUGCUGGCACUGCUGAUUCGCGAGGUCUGGAACCAAAACUCACCAUUUUUUAAUAAGCACCACCCCUACCUCACCCCCCCCCCCCCACACACACAGAGAAGAUUCUGGUAGGUAAAGUACUAAGACCAGACUUUGACUAACGCUUGAAGUCAAAAGAGAGGGGUGGGAAGGAAAUUAGAUUAAAAAAAAAAAGAAAAACCCAAGUGUAAGGGUUAAGCUUUAGGGAAAAAAUGUACCUUUCUUUAAAACAAACAGGAAGAGAUGGUACAGAGAAAUUUAGAGAUGGUGACCUGAGCAUCAGAAAGGUUUUCAGGUGGGGAGGAAGGGCACAUGAGCAUGACCUUUUUGGUUUUUUUUUUCCCCUUUAAGUGGGAAAAAGCUUAUCUUCUCGGGGCAGGCAUGGGAGAAUUUGAGGAGUAUGGAAGAGGUUUGAAACAGCUGCUCUGGAGGAGUCAACGGAGCCAACAAGGGAGGAGCAUAAACAACACUGGGCAGCAGUUGGGGUUCUAUUAAGUUAGGUGGUACGACUUCAUUGGACCCAGUCAGCAGUUACCUUAGCUCUCUAAGUGAGGAGUAGUCCUGAAAACAUCUAUCACCUUAAUAAUUCACCAUGGCUCCAUCAUAUGUAGAUUUACUUAGACGUUUUUUGAUGCUUUCAGCCUGUGUCACUUCAUAGAAUAACAAACUGCAUAUAUUUAGUAUAAAAGGUAUAAUAAAGUAUCCAAAAAUUACCUGAAACCCAGACCAAACCUGUGCUGUCAAGUCAAUUUCAACUCAUAUUUCCUAUGAUUUGCUAGAACAUGUUUAUAUUCAUUCUUUCCAUAUUCUUCAGAUUUUUAUGCACUUUGAUCACAAUUCAUAUGAUGAGGCCAACGCUGUGGAGGGUAUUUAUUUUCACUUGUGCACCAGCAGUUACCAUCCAGUGCUCCGUUACCAUAGUUACCACCAAGUGAAUGCAGUGCCCUGGGUUAGAGCUAAGGGGACCUAUCUGCUGAGUUUUCUCUCAGUUUGGAUAAGUGAGAAACAGAACUAGGGCUUCGAACCCCUGCUGAGAAUUUGCAUUUCCACCUCAGAUAUACCAAAUCAGAAUCUACAUUUUAACAAGAUCCCCAGGUGAUUCUUAUGUAUGAUAAAUUUUGAGAACCACUGCUCUACUAGUGGUUCUCAGAACCGGUCCCUAACCAGCAGCAUUAGCAUCGCCUGCACAUUCUCAGCAGGGGUUCAGAGCCCUGGGUAGAACUAAGUGUGGAGGAGCACCUAGGCACUCUGGUUUUUGUCCUACACUUUAAUUCUUUCAACAACCCUGUAAGAGGAAACUGAGGCUCAGAUGUCUAGAUUGCCUACAGCCGUAGAGCAAGGAAGUUGGGGAGCUGGAAAUAAAGUUGCAUCUGUUUUAUUCCAUGCCCCAUACUCAUUUUCAUACCAUGCUACAUUGAGUAGGAUGCAGGUCAGCCAAUUAUAUUCUUUUGAUUAGUAAUUUCUUAAUAGAAAUAGCCCUUUGUCCAGUAUAGAUCAAUAAACAAAUGCAGCCUUGUGAAUUUAUUAAAUGGAAAGGCUUUUUCAUCUGUGCCUGUGAUCUUGUAACUCACUUAAGACUUUAGUUGCUGGUACAGCACAGUCUUCUUGAGGACCAAUGAGAGUUAAGAACAGUAGAAACGUAAAGGUUUCUGUUUUAUUUUCAGUGUACUCUGAUGAUGUUAGUUCCCGUAGAGUCAAUUCCAAUUCAUGGUGACUCUAGGUAUGAUGAAUAUAACAGCCCCAUAGAAUUUUCAAGGCUGUGACCUUCCGGAAGCAGGUCACCAGGCCUGUCUCCCAAGGAACCUCUGAGUGGGUUCCAACCACCAACCUUUCAGCUAGUAGUUGACCGCUUAACAAUUUGCGCUACCCAGAGACUCCAUAUUUUGAUGGUGCCCGGCAUUUUAAUCUUUUAGCCACAGCAAUACAUUUUUGCAUUCCUGGUCUGUCUUCUGAUACACCUAAGAGGGAAUUUUUUUUUUUUAAUAAUUUUUAUUGUGCUUUAAGUGUAAGUUUACAAAUCAAGUCAGUCUCUCACACAAAAACCCAUAUACACCGUGCUACACAUUCCCAGUUACUCUCCUCCUAAUGAGACAGCCUGCUCUUCCCCUCCACUGUCUUUUUCAUGUCCAUUUGCCAGCUUCUAACCCCCUCCACCCUCUCAUCUCCCUUCAGGCAGGAGAUGCCAACCUAGUCUCGAGUGUCCACCUGAUCAAGGAAGCUCACUCUUCACCAGCAUCCCUCUCCAACCCAUUGUCCAGUCUAAUCCGUGUCUGAGAGAUGGCUUUGGGAAUGGUUCCUGUCCUGGGCCAACAGAAGGUCUGGGGGCCAUGACCACCGGGGUCCUUCUAGUCUCAGACCAUUAAGUCUGGUCUUUUUAUGAGAAUUUGGGGUCUGCAUCCCACCGCUCUCCUGCUCCCUCAGGGGUUCUCUGUUGUGUUCCCUGUCAGGGUAGUCAUCAGUUAUAGCUGGGCACCGUGUAGUUCUUCUGGUCUCAGGAUGAUGUAGUCGCUGGUUCAUGUGGCCGUUUCUGUCUCUUGGGCUUGUAGUCGCCUGUGUCCUUGGUGUUCUUCAUUCUCCUUUGAUCCAGGUGGGUUGAGACCAAUUGAUGCAUCUUAAAUGGCUGUUUGCUAGCGUUUAAGACCCCAGACGCCACUCUUCAAAGUGGGAUGCAGAAUGUUUUGUUAAUAGAUUUUAUUAUGCCAGUUGACUUAAAUGUCCCCUGAAACCAUGGUCCCCAGACCCCUGCCUCUUGCUACACUGGCCUUCAAAGCAUUCAGUUUAUUCAGGAAACUUCUUUGCUUUUGGUUUAGUCCAGUUGUGCUGACCUCCCCUGUAUUGUGUGCUGUCUUUCCCUUCACCUAAAGUAGUUCUUAUCUACUAUCUAAUUAGUGAAUGCCCCUCUCCCCCACCCUCCCUCCUCUCGUAACAACAAAAGAAUGUUUUCUUCUCAGUUUAAACUAUUUCUCAAGUUCUUAUAAUAGUGGUCUUAUACAGUAUUUGUCCUCUUGCAACUGACUGAUUUCACUCAGCAUAAUGCCUUCCAGGUUCCUCCACGUUAUGAAACGUUUCACAGAUUCCUCACUGUUCUUUAUCCAUGUGUAGUAUUCCAUUGUGUGAAUAUACCGUAAUGUAUUUAUCCAUUCAUCCGUUGAUGGGCACCUUGGUUGCUUCUAUCUUUUUGCUAUUGUAAACAGUGCUGCAGUAAACAUGGGUAUGCAUGUAUCUGUUUGUAUAAAGGCUCUUAUUUCUCUAGGAUAUAUUCCAAGGAGUGGGAUUGCUGGAUCAUAUGGUAGCUCUAUUUCUAGCUUUUUAAGGAAGCACCAAAUCGAUUUCCAAAGUGGUUGUGCCAUUUUACAUUCCCACCAGCAGUGUAGAAGUGUUCCAAUCUCUCCACAGCCUCUCCAACAUUUAUUAUUUUGUUUUUUGGAUUAAUGCCAACCUUGUUGGAGUGAGAUGAAAUCUCAUUGUAGUUUUGAUCUGCAUUUCUCUAAUGGCUAAUGAUCAUGAACAUUUCCUCAUGUAUCUGUUACCUACCUGAAUGUCUUCUUUAGUGAAGUGUCUAUUCAUAUCUUUUGCCCAUUUUUUAAUUUGGGUUAUUUGUCUUUUUGCAGUUGAAUUUUCGCAGUAUUACAUAGGUUUUAGAGAUCAGGUGCUGAUAGGAACUGUCAUAGCUAAAAACUUUUUCCCAGUCUGUAGGUAGUCUUUUUACUCUUUUGGUGAAGUCUUUGGAUGAGCAUAGGUGUUUGAUUUUUAGGAACUCCCAGUUAUCUAGUUUUUCUUCUGCAUUCUUAAUAAUGUUUUGUAUACUGUUUCUGCCAUGUAUUAGGGCUCCUAACGUUGUCCCUAUUUUUUCUUCCAUGAUCUUUAUUGUUUUAGAUUUUAUAUUUAGGUUUUUGAUCCAUUUUGAGUUAGUUUUUGUGCAUGGAGUGAGGUAUGGGUCUUGUUUCAUUUUUUUGCAGAUGGAUAUCCAGUUAUGCCAGCACCAUUUGUUAAAAAGACUGUCUUUUCCCCAUUUAACUGUUUUGGGGCCUUUGUCAAAUAUCAGCUGCUCAUGUGUGGAUGGAUUUAUGUCUGGAUUCUCAAUUCUGUUGAAUUGGUCCAUGUAUCUGUUAUUGUACCAGUACCAGGCUGUUUUGACUACUGUGGCGGUAUAAUAGGUUCUAAAAUCAGGUAAAGUAAGGCCUCCCACUUUGUUCUUCUUUUUCAGUAAUGCCUUAUUUAUCCGGGGCCUCUUUCCCUUCCAUAUGAAGUAGGUGAUUUGUUUCUCCAUCUCAUUGAAGAAUGUCGUUGGGAUUUGGAUCGGAAUUGCAUUAAAUGUAUAGAUCGCUUUUGGUAGAAUAGACAUUUUUAUAAUGUUAAGUCUUCCUAUCCACGAGCAAGGUAUGUUUUUCCACUUAUGUAAGUCUCUUUUGGUUUCUUGCAGAAGUGUACUGUAGUUUUCCUUGUAUAAGUCUUUUACAUCUCUGGUAAGAUUUAUUCCUAAGUAUUUUAUCUUCUUGGGGGCUACUGUAAAUGGCAUUGAUUUGGUGAUUUCCUCUUCGAUGCUCUUUUUGUUGGUGUAGAGGAAUCCAAGUGAUUUUUGUACGUUUAUCUUGUAUCCCGAUACUCUGCUGAACUCUUCUAUUACUUUCAGUAGUUUUCUUGAGGAUUCCUUAGGGUUGUCUGUGUAUAAGAUCAUGUAAGAGGGAAUUUUUUUUUUCUUAAAUAUAUCUUUACGUUGCACACGUGGCUGCUUAUCUCUUCACAGACUGUUCACAUACUCUUGCCUCAUCCUCCUGUAUUUUAUCAACAAAUAUUUAUUGAACAAUUUUCCUAAUCCAGCCAUUAUGCUAGGUAUCCCAGUGGUUACCUAGGAAAGCCUAAUGUUUUUGAAAACUGGAAUUCGUUAAUUAAAAAUUCUGACAUGUUCGUAGUUAAUUCGUAGUGUGAAGUUUGGGUACUUUAGAAAAAGUUGAGAUGUUGCCACUUUACAACAAGAGUGGGAAAAGCAUAAGAAGGGCAGGAUUUGGGCUAGAUCUCCUUAGUCUUUAUAAACAAAAUGCAUUGAGUUCUCUAAUGUUGGCUGUGGAUCUUGGUGGGUAUUAAAGUAUUUGAAAAACUAAUAGAAAUGAUUAGUUGUGGGAUCCUAAAAAUAAGAAUUUGUCUGUUCUUUUGAGUUUCUUUAAAAGAUUUCCUAUGCUAAAUGAGUGGCAGUAAAUUUAGAAAGACUUUAGUGUUUAUUUUUAAUUUUUUAAUUAAAGAUAUCUUUCAGGUGUUCAAUGGCUGCUACCUGUUGCCGUCAAGUCGAUUGCAACUCAUAGCAACACUUAGGACAGAGUAGAACUGUCUCAAAGGGUUUCCAAGGAGCGGCUGGUGGAUUCGAACUGCCAACCUUUUAGUUAGCAGCCAUAGCACUUAACCACUACACCACCAGGGCUCCACAUAUGGCUAGUACUCUCACAUUAGAAAAGACAGGUCCAGGCCGUCCAAGGGAUCAUUUAUGGAGUAAAAUCUUAAAUCAUUUAGUAUGCACCCAGGUGUUAGUAGUAACUCAUUUUUUUUAUGUGCUUAUUUAUUGUGCUUUCAGUUAAAGUUUACAAAUCAAGUCAGUCUCUCGUACAAAAACUUACACGCACAUUGCUGUGUACUUCUAGCUGCCCUUCCCCUAAUGAGACAGCACACUCGUCUCUCUACCCGGUAUUCACAUGUCCAUUCAGCCAGCUUCUGUCCCCCUCUGCCUUCUCAUCUCUCCUCCAGACAGGAGCUGCCCACAUAGUCUCAUGUGUCUACUUGAGCCAAGAAGCUCACUCCUCACCAGUAUCAUUUUUUGUCUUAUAGUCGAGUCCAAUCCCUGUCUGAAAAGUUGGCUUCGGAAAUGGUUCCAGUCUUGGGCUAACAGAGGGUCCAGGGAAUAGUAACUCAUUUUUAUUACUUUAAUUCAUUUGAAGGAUCUUUGCGAAGAAAAAUUUGAGUUAAGAAAAGUUCAAACAACCAUGUCAUCACUAUGAAAAGCAGGCAGCUGAGGGAUGUGGGAUUUGAGUACACAGGAGAGCUGUAAAGACACUUCAGCCCCUAUAGAUAGAGUUUCUUGCUCUAUUUUGAAGGACUCUGGCUAAUGUAGCAGUUGCUGUACUUGUUUUUAACUUUAGUAACACAUAAAUAUAGUCUCAGUUUUAAAAUGGAAAGUAAAAAUAUAGGACUUUCUUGCUCCUCCCUCCUUCCUUCACUUACCCACCCCCAUUCCAUUUUUCCUUCCCAGGAGUAACCACUCCUUAGAGUGGCCUGUGCAUUUUCAAACUACAUCUAUAUCAUGAGAUCCAUAUAUAUAUAUAUAUAUAGUUAGUUAUUUCAUUAGUUCGUUUGUUCCCAUUGUCAAUUCCGACUCAUGACAACCCCGUGUGUGUCAAGAGUAGAAGUGUGCUUCCUAGGGUUUUCAGUGGCUGCUUUUUCAGCAGCAGAUUGGCAGGCCUUUCUGCCUACGUGUGUGUGUGUAAUCCUCCCUGGUGGUACACUCAUUUACUAGCCCCCAAAACUUGGCGCUUUAAACUCAUCCAGAGGCGCCGUGGAAGACAGGCCUAGUGGUCUGCUUCUGAAAAAUCACAGCCUUAAAACCGUAUGGAAGACACAUGAGACUAUGUUGGCAUCUCCUGUCUGGAGGGGAGAUGAGAGAGCAGAUGGGGUCAGAAGCUGGCCGAAUGGACGCGACAAAAGAGAAUGGAGGGAAGGAGUGUGCUGUCUCAUUAGGGGGAGAGCAAUUAGGAGUAUUUUUUUUUUAGCAAGGUGUAUAUAAAUUUUUGUAUGAGAGACUGACUGGAUUUGUAAACUUUCACUUAAAGCACAAUAAAAAUUUUAAAAAACCCUAUGGAGCAGGUCUUCUCUGCACACAUGGGGACACCAUGAGUCAGAAUCGACUUGAUGGCAACUAACUAUAUAUAUAUAUACACACACACACACACACAAUGGUUCGUACAGUUUUUUUCUCCUGAUGUCUUAGAGAUCUUUCCACAUCAAUUUGCAUAGAAUUAUCUCAUUCUUUUUAAUAUAGUAUGUAUGUCCUAUAAUUUGUUUAACCAUUCCUGUAUUGAUAGGUGUUUAGGUUUUUUCCUAUCAUAAUAUGACAGUGAACGUCUUUAUACCUGCUUCUUUAUCCAUAUGAACAGGUAUUUCUCUGGAUUAUGUGCGUAAAAAUGCAAUUGCCAGGCAGAAAGAUACAUGCAGUUUUAAAUUUUGCUAGAAAUGCAGUUUUGUCCCUUGGGUCCUCUGGGAGCUGACAAUGUGGAUGGUGUUAGAACUGUAACUGGUUUAUUGAGGGGUAAUGUCUGGGGAUGACAGCAGCAGAAGGAAAAGGAAAGUGGUCAGACCAUAAUACAGAUUUAACAGUCUCGCCACCUCAACAGGGCAUUCUCGAGCAGAAAUUGCCUGUUAGAGGGGGAGUGUCAUAAUGGGAGAAAUGGCCAGACUCUGGGAAUAAAGUGGCCUCAUCUUGAAAAACGGCUUUGAAUCUGUUCAUUCCAGUUAGAACCCCUGCCAAGAAUUUUCAUUUCCACCCCAGAUACACUGAAUCAGAAUCUAUAUUUUAAUAACAUCUCAGGUGAUUCUUACGUAUGAUACAUUUUGAGAACCACUGCCAUAGUGUCGCUAUGAAUAGGAAUGGAAUUGGUCCCUAACCAGCAGCAUUAGCUUCACCCUGAAGCUUGUUAGAAAUGCACAUUAUCCAAGUCCUGUUGAAAAAUCAGCCUGAAGGCACAAACUAACAGCUGAAGACUAACUGCAUUCUUUGGAGCUAAACUGUUCUGAGCAGCUACCUCUGUGGAUGCCACUGUAAUAUAGUUUAGCAAAUUACAGUAAAGCACAGAUUGUAGAGCCAAACUCCCUGGGAUUCAACAUCUUUGUAUAUUACUCAACAUCUGUGUGCCUCCAUUUCUUCACUAUAAACUGGAGAAAUAAUAGUACUUACCUCAUAGGGUUGUAACGAGAUAAAAAGAGUUAACAUGCGUAAAGCACUUAGAAUAGUGCCUGGGACACGAUAACACUAUAUAAGUGUUUGCUGCUGUUGGUAUUAUUAUUCUUCUACCAAUUGCUCUCCCAAAAGGCUGCACUUUUUCUUCCCACCAUCCCAACAAUGUGUAAAAGAGUACUUAUUUCUCCAUGUCUUUUCCAGUACUGUAUAGCUAUGUAUGUUUUUAGUUUUUGCCAAUUUGAUGGCCAGAAAGUGAUACUUUGUCUUAAUUUUUACAUCUUUAGUUAUUAUGAGGUUGAACAUCUUUUCAUAUCAUUUCUGUUUGUAUACUUGAGGUUUUUAACUGUGUCAUAUUGAUUUUUAGUACUUAUUCACAUAUUCCAGGUCAUUAAACUGUUACAGAGGUGUGUGAUGGUUAAGAUCGUGUGUCAACUUGGCUGGGCCAUGAUUCUCAUUGUUUAUAAAAGGGAGUUUCCUUGAGGGUGUGGCCUGCAUCCGAAUGUAAGUAGACAUUCUGGCCUUUUUGCUCAUUCUGGAUCCUGCGGCUGUCUCCUGUUCGUCUGACCUUUGGUUCUUCGGACUUGAGCUAUUAGCUUAUCUGCCAACUUUGGGAUUCGUCGAUCUUUACAGCCUGUGUACAAGAGCCCUGUAUUCCGACCUGCCGAUCUUGGGUUCACAUGAAUCAAGAGUAGUAGCCUCUACCCUGCAGCUACGUGAAUCAAGAGUAGCCUCUAUCCUGAUCCACAGACUUAGGGCGUUGCAGCUUCUACAAUCGCAUGAGCCGUUUUUUUGUUAUAAAUCUAUAUAUAUAUUUAUAUGCUUUACUGGUUUUGAUUCUUUAGAGAACUCAGCCUAAGAUAGGGUGUAAGUUUUUUCUUCUAGUCUCACAUUGUUUUACAAAUUUGUCUUUCAGUGUUAUAUUUUAUUUUGUCACGUAGGCGUCUAAAACUUUGUGGAUCAGUUUUUUCUGUAUGGGUUUAAGGUUUUGUGUCUUACUUUGAAAGGACUUUUCCUACCCUAAGAUUACAGUUCUCUUUUUUGCAUUUCACUUUGUAAAGCAUCUUGGAUUUACUUUUGUCUGUAAUUUGGGAUAGGUAUUUUCUAUCUAACUUAAUUUUUCCCAAUAUUACUAGUCCAUUUUUUUCCUGAUGCUUUGAAAUUCUAAUUUUACCAUAUUCUAAAUUUCUACACAUACAGAGUUGGAAGAUACGAACAUCUUUAAGGGCUUUAACGUGUACUGCCAAAUUGCCCUGAGGAAAUCAUAUAGAAAUAUGCAAUCCCCAACCUGAACUUUUUUUUUUUUUUUAAGUUUUUGUCAAGUUAGUAGUCAGAAAAAUGAAAAUGUUGUUUUGGUCUGCAUUUCUUUGAUUACUAAAAAGAGUGAACUCUUUAAAAAUACAUACUUUUGAUGUUUCAUAUGCCAUCUUAUAUGAAUUGCUUAUUCAUAUUCUUUGUUCAUUUUUUAGUUUUGGAGUUUGAUUUCACACUGAUUUGAAAGAACUCAUAUAUAAAAACUAUUACCCCUUCAUACCUAUUACACACAGUUUAUUAUUUAUCUUUAAAUUGUACUUAUGGUCUCUUUAAACAUAAAGAAGUUUUUAAAAUUUGUGAUCAGAGCUAUCAGUCUUUUUCGUUGUAGAGUUUAUAUACAUACAUCCCCAUUUCCAAGAACACACAGUCAACUAGAAUAUUUUCCUUUAUGAUUUAAAUUUUUACUUUAAUUCACCUGCCAUCUUGUUCUGGUGUGUGAUAUUAAGUAGGAGUCUAUCUUAAUUCGUUUCUAAAUGGUAAGUCAGUUAUCCAAAACAGUUUGCCAAAUAAUCCAGUCUCCCUUUAAAGAUACACAAGAAACAGAUAACAGUGGUUGUUGCCUCAAGAGAGGGGAACUGAGACACUGGAGAUCAGUUGCCAAAGGGAAAUUUACUUAUUGCUGUACACUGUACUUUCUGUACUCUGAUUUGAUUCAAUUCCAGUUUGUGGCUGUAUAUAUAGUACAUAUUCAAAAUAUAGUUUAAAAAAUACGUACAUAGAAAGAAAAGUCAUUUGUCAUUUGUAAGAGAUGACUGGAGAAAUUCCAGUACUAUUUUUAACCUUGGUGACUGCAAGUUUUGCCAAACCAUAUAUGAAAUGGAAAAAAAGACACUUUUUGUUGAUUAGGUACUUGACCUCUCAUGCCAACUUUUCCUUCAAGGUUAGAUUCCAUGGAAUAUAUUUGUCACUGGCAAAUGGUAUUCUACUCUUAGUCCUUAUCCAGAACCUUGUCGGCCUUUCUUCUCUUUAUAUUACUUAGUGAGGAAUCUCUGAAGUUUUGCUUAAGUGUUUUUAAUGUCUUCUAGAGGAAAAAAUUUUCUUAAUUUCCUCCAUAUUUGAACUCUCAGUAAAUAGUACUUGCACUUAGAUGAAUGCUGUGCUUUGUGGAUGUGUAUGUGUGUGUGUGUGUGUAUACUCACCAAAACAUAUAUAUAUAUAUCACCAAAACGUUUAUUCAGGCCCUGUCUGUGGUAGAAUCCCUGGGUCACACAAACUGUCAAGCACUCGGCUGCUAACCAAAAGGUGGGAAGUUUGAGUCCACCCAGAGACACCUUGGAAGACAGGCCUGGCAGUCCACCUCCAAAAAAAUCAACAAUUGAAAACCCUAGGGAGCACAUUCUACUCUGACACACAUGGGGUUUACAUGAGUUGGAAUCGAUUCAAUAGCAACUGGUAUGGUUUGUUUGCUUUGUUUUGGUCUGUGAUAGGAAGCAAAAGUCAGUCUUUGUACCCUACCUUGAAUGUUUAGAUUUUUUUUUUCUACUAAUUGAGCACCUUUCUUUCUUUUCUCAGGACAGUUCAUAAAUAUUUUUUCUAUUUUUUAAGGAAAAUAAUUUGGAUCUUGUUAUUUAAUUAAAAUUAUCUGAACAUGUCAAAGACAUUUAUCUUCAUUAAAUGCUAAAUCCAAUCUCUUUCAUAUAGUUUUCCCCCUGACAGCCGUUAUCUCCAUUAUAAAUGAUUAAAAUUCUAUAAAUUUAACCUGUAUUUAGCUGACUCUGUCAUUCCCUUACUAAUUAAUGCAAGACUUCAUCCUCCUGUGAAGUUUCACCUUCUCCCCAAUUGCUUUUGGGAGACAACAAGUCUGGUUGGCCUCUGUGCAGCCUCCUGUGUAGUACCAGUGCAUACUGCCAAGCAUUGAUGCUGUUUCCACUGGGUAGCAUGGCAUCUGCUGGUACUCACCUUAGUCAGCAUCACUGCUUCUGCUGAGUACUGCAACAUCUGCCAACCACCACUGCUCCUUCUAGGUUAGAUAUUGAUACACUGGUGUCCUCCAGAUGGGAGGGUAUUAAAGUUAGCUACAUUAUAUUCUAAUGAAAUGAAAAAGCUACUUCUCUUCCAUUUUGUGUAACACUGACUAGAACAGUACCAAAACGGUAUUGCCACUCCCUCCAGUAUCUUUCAGACUUCUAGUGGAACUGGCUCUUUAUUUUCCCCCCACAACUUUUGCAUCCUCCUUGGGCUUAGAUACAGAUCCACUGGAGACAAGUGCAAGUGACACCAGGCAGUACUCAGAAUCACUCCUCCUCUGUGAUGGAUGAUAAAGGCUUUAAUAUUAGGUUAAAUUUGUCUCCUAGACUUUUUCUUCCAUUAAAUUGUUUCCCAGAACAAUCCUUAGUCUUUAAUGCAAAUAAACUUCUUAAGGAAGGGUGACCACUGGAGCUCAAAUCAUAAAAAAUUCUGUCCUGUCAGAUCUUAAAUGGAAAGUGAGUCAGAUUGCUGCAGAUCAUAGAAGUUGGAAAUUGUAGUCACCUUAACCCUCCAACACUUCAAGAUGGAGAGAAAUAGCUUUUCAUCAUGACUCCCUUACAUGCUUGGAGGAAGAGGAGUCAGGCUGCCUUCUUGAGUUGGAACAUUGUAGAGCAUGGGUUUGGGCCAUGCCAAAAUCCUGAAGCUGUUUGCUGACAUUCUGCACAAUAUGGUUCCAAGAAGAGCCCUGAACCUAAGGAAAUUAACUUUGGUUCUUUUGGAACUAAGAAUUCUUUCAUACAGACAGCAAAGGAAAGCUGUAUGCCGUAUGCUAGACUUUGUAGCUGUGCCUGGGAGCUCCCCCCUUUUGAGGAAUAGGCUUGUCUAUUCCCAUUUCUAAAGCCUUUAGUUCCACAGAUGUAACUUCUUUUCUGGGACAUAACUGUAUUAGCACCUGCCACUGAGACCUAAGUUCAGACAUUAAUUGCCAAUUCUGUAGUCUUUUUUUCUUUUCAAGUCUCUAUUGCUGCUUUAUUUUCCUUUCUCCCUUCAAAUUAAUUUGAUAAACAGAAGGAAUUGUGAGUGUGUCUCUGGUUUAUAUUUGCGUUUCAUUGUAAAUGUCCCAAGAACCAGUCCGGCCCGUUAGGAACCUUUAUAUUCCUCAAGGCUCAUCUCAGCUUAUGGUUUGCCAGCCAUGUUAAGAAUUUGUUUCUGAUUCUCUUCUGGAGAUACCUUUAGUCCAUGAAGUAAAUCCAAACAUUGUAAUUAUUAUCUGAAUGUAUCACUAAAAUUAACAUGUUUUGCUGGCUUAUUGAAAUAAAUAUCCAUUUCUGUUUUUUAUUUUCUUUUGUUAUUUCUUCUCAAAUAGUCAGAUAAGUAACUGAAAUAGUAUCACUGGUCUAGGAAGGCUACUGUCUUAAUGGUCUCUUCCUUAAAGUGAACAAUCAUAGACUAACCAUUCCAUAAUUACCUUUUUACUUUUCAGACGGAGAGAAAAAAGUGAUAAAAUGUGGAGUCUUAAAUAAUAGUCACAAAAAUAAUAUACAACAGAUUGCUAAUUCAUUUACUGUUUAUUGGGGACCUAUUAUAUAUCGGGCACUGCUAGGUGCUGGAGCCCUGGUGGCGUAGUGGUUAAGAGCUUGCUGCUAACCAGUAAGUCGGAAUUCAGAUCCGCCAGCCACUCCUUGAAAACCCUAUGGGGCAGUUCUACUCUGUCUUACAGGGUCACUAUGAGUUGGAAUCGACUCUACAACAACAGGUUUUGUUUUGUUUUUUGGUGCAAGGUGCUGGAUAUAUUUUGGUAAAUAAGAUGGAUGCUGACCACAUACUGAGCUUAUAGUCUAAUAGGUAAAAGUGAUGGUAAGCAAACAAAAAAUUAUGAAAAUAAAUACAGUUGUGAUAAAGGAGAAAUAUGGUUUAAUGGGAGCCUACGACAGGAAGAAGGUACGACGGAAGGCUUCCCUAAGAAAAUGAUGCCUAAACUAAGAAUGAAAGGAAGUGCAGGAGUCAGAAGAAAGUGAGCAGAAAAUGGUGACGUAGACAGAAGGAAUAACAUAUGCAAAGGCCUUGAAGUAGUGAAGAAUUCCAGGGCAUUUUAGAACUAAAGCAGGGGGAAAACUGGUGGGCUAACUUGUAUGUUGUUGUUGGGUGCCAUCGAGUCGAUUCUGACUCAUAGUGACCCCAUGUGACAGAGGAGGUUUUCUAGGCUGUAAUCUUUAUGGGAGCAGAUCUUCAGGUCUUUUUCCCACGAAGCUGCUGGGUGGGUUCGAACUGCCAACCUUUUGGUUAGCAGCCAGUGCUUAGCCAUUGUGCCACCAGGGCCCCUUCUAAGUUGUGUAGAGUAAGGGAAAAAGGGAUACAGCUGAAUAAACAGGCAUAGUCUAGAUUGUAUAAGGCCUGAUAGAAGGUUUGGUCUUUAUCAAUUACAGCAGUUUGACAAAAGUCAUAUUUGCAUUUUAAGAACAGUUACUCUGCAGCUUGAAGAAGAAAGAACUAGAAGGGUCUAGAAUUGAGUGAAAGAGCCGUGGGGACACAAUGGUUAAGUGUUCAGCUGCUAACCAAAAGGUUGGCUGUUCAUAUCUACCCAGUGGUUCCACAGGAGAAAGACCUGGCAAUCUGCUCCCAUAAAGAUUAAACCUGUUGCCAUCAAGUCGAUUCCAACUCAUAGCAACCCUACAGGACAGAGUAUAACUGCCCGGUAGGGUUUCCAAGACCGUAAUCUUUGCAGAAGCAGACUGCCACAUCUUUCUUCUGUAGAGUGGCUGGUGGGUUUGAACCACCCACCUUUCGGUUAGAAGCCACCAGAGCUCCUUCCAUAAAGUUACAGCCCAGAGAACCCUAUGAGGCAGUUCUGCUCUGUCACGUGGGGUCACUAUGAGUCGAAAUCAACUCAGUGUCUCCUAACAACAACAACAAAAUUGAGCGAUGACAAUUGAUAUUGAUUUGGGAUGUUGCAUAUGGCGAUAGAAAAGGAUAUAUAUAUAUAUAUAUAUAUAUAUAUAUUUUUUUUAUAUAUAUAUAUACUCCUCCCCCCGGCCCCAUAUUUAGACGGUAAAUUUUCCUUCGUGAUUUUAGGGUGGUGAGCUACAGGGGUUAGAAAUAGGGAGUUCAGGAUGACUCAUUUGAGCAGCUGGAUGAAAAAAUAGUGGUGACAUUAAGGACACUGGAAAGAACCAGGUUUGUGAAGGAAGGUGAAUUUUUAUAUUUGUUGAGCUUGAGAUGACUGUGAAGCAUUUAAGUGGAAAAUAUUAAGUAAGCAGUAAUAUAUAAGAAUCUGGAGCUUAAAAGAGCUGUCUUAGCUACAGAUAAAUUUGUGAGUCAUUGGCUUAAUAGGUGAUUAUUGAAUUUGUGAACCUAAUUGAGAUUGCCCAGAAAGAGUGUAGAGCUAGCAUAGAAGGGUGGCUUAGGAACCAACUUGAAUUCAUUGGCGAUAUUCCGAGUAAUUUUUUGUUAUUGAAAAGCUUUGGUUUUAUAAGAAUUAUACUAUGUAAUAACCUUGGUUGUUCUAAUUGAGACUGUUAGGAUACAGUAACUCUCUCUCAUUAGAUAUACUUGCCAUCUGUUAUUUUUCUAUAUGUUUCUAUUUUCUAUUCAGACAAUGAAUAGACUUUGUAAUUAAUCUUCUAAAUAUAAUGCAAUUAAUAUAGUCUAUGUAUUUGGAUUAGGCAGUGAGUUUUGUCUGGGUAAGGAAUGAAGAACUAUCCUGUAAAAUGAUUGAGGUGAUGUGAUCUUUAGCUGUUGGUCCCGACACAAUAAGGAAAGUUGUGAAUACACCUUGACAGUCAUUUUCCAUCAGCCAUUGGGGAUCUCCCUGUAGACAGCUUUAGAAAUAAUAAAAGUUUGUUACUCUAGUAUCCUGUCUGAUAUAGUCUCUGACUGCCUAAGUCUGAAUGUGUCAUUAGGAUGGUGAGAUUUACACCCAUUGCCACUAGGUAGCCACAGAAGGCAGGAUAAGAAAUUGGUAAAUUGGAUUCUGCCAAAAUUUGAAACAUUUGCCCUCAAAAGAUACUGUUAAGGAGGCAGAACAAGAUAGAGGUAUAAGCAGCUGCACGCUCCCAUCUCUCCCCCCCCUACAAUGAAACCAGAAGAAAAACAAGUAAAUUGGUGAAAUUGAUACCACAAAUCACGGGUUCGAGCCACCUGCUGCAAAACCAAUACUGAGACAGGAGGAGGUAAGCAGUAAAAAUAUGCACACCCAUGUUCACUGCAGCACUGUUUAUAAUAGCAAAAAGAUGGAAGCAAACAAGGCUCCCAUCAAUGGAUGAAUGGAUAAAUAAAUUAUGGUAUAUUCAUACAAUGGAAUACUACGCAUCAGUAAAGAACAAUGAUGAAUCCAUGAAUCAUUUCAUAACAUGGAGGAAUCUGGAAGCCAUUAUGCUGAGUGAAAUUAGUCAGUUCCAAAAGGACAAAUAUUGUAUGAGGGAGGGAGAGGAAGAUUCACUAAUUAGAUAGUAGACAAGAACUAAUUUAGGUGAAAGGAAAGACAACACACAAUACAGGAGAGGUCAGCACAACUAGACUAAACCAAAAGCAAAGAAGUUUCCUGAAUAAACUGAACACUUGGAAGGCCAGCAAAGCAGAGACGGAGGUUUGGGGACCAUGGUUUCAGGGGACAUCUAGGUCAACUGGCAUAAUAAAAUCUAUUAAGAAAAAAAAAAGCAGUAAGAGGGCUUUAUUGAAUACCACUAUUCAAGAGACAGAGGGGGUUAAAUUUUUCCCAAAUUCUGUCUACCCUAAAGGGUUGACGGGAAGGUUUUACAUGGGAAAGACCAGGGUUACUUAAUGUUUUGAGCACAUAGUCCACAGAUGGUCUUAUACAUCACAAAACAACUACAAAAACUCUUCAUUAAACUAAAGAUAAACAUGUCAGGCAUCUGGACUCUAAUCAGUAUAUUUGUAACAGGCUGAAAAACUCUCAUAAGAAUCUCUCGGCUAGUGGAGCCUUUUUGCUAAGUCCACUGUGGCUGAGAUAGGGAGCAAGAAAGAAAGCCUUCCUGUCGGUUUGCAGGCUGAAGGCCAUUUCUCAAGAGAACAAAGAAAGAAGAAAAGAGACCAAGGCCAUAGGAACUGAGAUAGCCCCACACCCCUUUGGAAGAGACCGGUGCAGCUGGUGCAGUUAAAAAAUGUUUAGAGAUUACUUAGAGCAUCAUUAUGGCAUUAGUCCUGUCAAGCUCUCAAUCACCUAUUUUGAAUAGGGGUAAACAUGUGGUAAGGUAUUGGGGUGUUUUUUAUGUAUAAGAGUGAAACAGGCUGCUCAGUAUAUUUUGAACAGAGCCUGCACCAUUUUCUAAGAACUGGAGAUUAAUCACAACUUAUACAGCUAUACUAAAACAAAUGAGAAAAUACAUUCUAAUAUUAAAACAGUAAAGAAAAUGCAUUUUUGCUACUUCAAAAUCAAUGGUCUCAGAACCCGAAAACCAGUCAAAGGGUUGCAGCAGCUAAGUGAAUGCUGACCAAGAAAAGAAAGGCAACAUAUAAACAGUAGGAAAACAUUGAUUUCCCACCUGUCUGCAUUCCACUGCCUCCCCAGAUUGGCAUAGCUGUAUUGGAAUGACCACAGGGCUGGUGGAAACCCUGGUGGCAUAGUGGUUAAGUGCUACAGCUGCCAACCAAAAAGGUUGGCAGUUCGAAUCCACCAGGCACUCCUUGGAAACCCUAUGGGGCAGCUCUGCUCUCUGCCCUAUAGGGUCACCAUGAGUCAGAAUCAACUGGAUGGCAAGGGGUUUGGUUUUUUUGCAGGGCUGGUGCUCCCAGGCAGGGAGCCUGGUAUUAAAGCAAGGACAGCUGGCGCUUACAGAGAGGGAAGGAUUUAUACACUGAGAAUUAUUAAACAUUGCUGAAAGAAGUUAAAGAAAGCCUUAAAAAAAUUAAAGAAGACCUAAAUAAGUGGGAACACAUCCCAUGUUCAUAGAUUGGAAGAUUUAAUAUUGUCGAGAUGCCAAUACUACCCAAAGCAAUCUAUGAAUUCAGUGCAAUCCUUAUCAAAACCCCAACAGCCUCUUUUUUUAGAAAUGGUAGGGGCCCCCAAUAGCCAAAACAGCCUUGAAAAAGAAGAGCAAAGUGGGAGAAUUCACACUUCCUGAUUUCAGAAUGCACUUUAAAGCUACAAUAAUCAAAACAGUCUGAUAGUGGUAUAAGGGCAGACAUACAAACCAAUGGAAUAGAAUUGAGAAUCCAGAAGUAAACCCAUACAUCUAUGACUCGAUUUUCAACAAGGUUGCCAAGUCCAUUCAUUGGGGAAAGAAUAGUCUCUUAACUCAAAAAGAAUCAAUAGUCUAAAUGUAAGAACCAAAACCGUAAAAUUCAUAGAAGAAAACAUAGAGGUAAACCUCAGUCCCUAUGUUUUUGACUGUGGAUUCUUAGAAAUGACACCAAAAGCACAAGUAGCAAAAGAAAAAAAAAACUGGAUUUCAUCAAAAUUAAAAAGCUUGUGUGCAUCAAAGGACUUUAUCAGGAAAGUGAAAAGACGACCAAUAGAACGGGAGAAAAUAUUUGGAAACUAUACCUCUGAUAAGGGUAUAUACGGGAUAUAUAAAGAACUCCUACAACCCAACGACAAAAAGACAAACAACCCAAUUUAAAAUUGGGCAAAGAACUUCAAUAAACAUUUCUCCAAAGGAGAUAUACAAAUGGCCAAUAAGCAUAUGAAAAGAUGCUCAACAUUAUUAGUCAUCAGGGAAAUGCAAAUCAAAACCACAAUGAAAUACCGCUUAACACCCACGGUUGCUAUUGCUGUUAGGUGCUGCCCAGUGGAUUUUCAACUCAUAGCGACCCCAUGUGAGAGUUGAACUGCCCCAUAGGGCUUUCUAGUCUAUAAUCUUUAUGGGAGCAGAUCGCUUUAUGGUCUUUUUCCUGUGGAGCCACCCAGCCCCUCCUUUGGAUUUGAACCACCAACCUUUCAGUUAGCAGCCAAGCACUUAACCAUUAAGCCAACAGUACUCCUUUAUAGAAGGAGAAGGCUUGUUUAGGGACCUCUCACAUGCGAGUUGAACGUGCUAACCACUACACUACAGAAACACUGGGAUGGCUGUUACCAGAAAAACAGAAAAUAGCAGUGUUGGCAUGGAUGUGGAGAAAUUGGAACCCUUCUGCAUUGCUGUUGGGAAUGUAAAAUGGUGCUGCCCCUAUAGAAAUCAGUUUGAUGAUUCCUCAAAAAGUUAAACAGAAUUACCAUAUGACCCAGCAAUUCCACUGCUAAGUAUUUACUCAAAAGACUUGAAAGCAGGGAAUCAAACAGAUGUGUGUAGACGAGUGUUCAUUGCAACAUUAUUCGUAAUAGCCAAAAUGUGGAACAACCCAAGUGUCCAUCAACAGAUGAAUGGAUGAACAAAAUGUAUGAAAUAUUAUUCAGUCAUAAAGAGAAAUAAAAUUCUGAUGCAUGCUGUGACAUGGAUUGACCUUGAAAAUGUGCUGAGCAAAUAAAUCAGACACAAAAGGACAAAUGUCAUAUGAUCACACUUAAAUGAAAUACCUGGAAUAGGCAGCUGCAUAAAGACAAAAUUUUAUUAGUGGUUUCCAGGGGGAAGGAGGAAAUUAGAGUUAUCGCUGAAAGGGUACUGAAUUUCAGUUCAGGGUGAUGUAAAAAUUUUGGAAAUAGGUGUGAUAGUAGCACAACAUAGUGAAUAAUUAAUACCAUUAAAUCGUACACUUAAAAAUGAUUAAAAUGGCAGAUUUGUAAUAUAUAUUUUACCACAGCAAUGGCGCAGGACUGGGGAACGUUUUGUUCUGUUAUACAUAAGGUUGCUGUGAGUUGGAGCCAACUAGACAGCAAUUAACAACAACCGCAAUAAAAUAAGAAAAAGACAUUGUUAAGACAAUUUAAAGGAAAGACUGGAGGGAAAUAUUUGCAAGAAGUGUCUUGGAAAAUGGACUUGUAUCCAGAAUAUACAAAGAGCUCUUAGAAUUCAAUGGUAAGACAGCCAACUUAAUUUAAAAAAAAAAAAAAAAAGAG